rnacentral:lncRNA from 1 species
GUAAGAACACGAUCUGUCGUAUUAUUAAAACAAGAUUUUAUCGCAAAAUUUAGGACCCUAUUAAGUAUUUAAACGACAAUUUUGAUGAAUGUUAGCUUUAACAGCUGAUUUUAACAGAUAAAACCAUGUCCAUUCAGGGAUAACCACACCUGUUUUGAAUAUGACUGAAGCUGUAAUAAAUUAGAAAAAAACAUUUUUAUGGAUGUACCGUACCUUCUCUUUUUAAUCAUAAAUUUAUUAAUUUUAUGCCCUCAGUUUAUCACAAAAACUAGUCAAUCAAUUGACAGAAAUAUGGUGUUCCCACACCACAUUUGUAUUUGUUAGAGUCCCUUUCAAUCAGAGUGGCGUCAAAAUUUGAAUUACAAAUCAAUGUUGAAAUAAUGGUUUGUUUGAAAAAAGUCGUACUUGUUUGAUGUUUGUAAUUGAAACAAUUUUAUGGUAACAAAAUUAGUUGUAGCUCUUAUCUUCUGCAUUAUGUUUGGAUUGUUCAGCUCAAGAGGGGUUUUAAAUGAUUUGUAGUAUUGAAAAUUGUGUAAACUUUGGCGUCUCAUUUUGUGUGUGAGGGUGGUUGGAAUGUGAAAUAGUAUCAAAUAUUUUUUUCUAUAAAUCUAAAAAAUAAAAAACAUUAUUUUGCCUGCACACUAUUUUUUCAUAAAGAAAAUUAUCAUAUAACUUUGAUAUAAGUCCUUGAUUUACCUUGUAGUCAUUGCCCUAAUAUGAAGAAGAUUUGUUUUUACAGGAACUUGAUCGAAGACGGAAAGUUGACAUAAAGUUGGUGUUUUGUACCCGAGCAAAUUUUCUAAAUAUUAUAAAAAUAAUUUCAUGUUUCGCAAGUUGAGAUCGAAAAAAUUCGAAAAAAUUUUGAAUUGUGCUAAUGUGUUACCAGUUUAUUAUUCAAAAUGAUUAAUUUUAAACAAAAAUUUGGACGUAGUUGAUUGCAUUAAAAACGACAAUGAACGAGAUUUUUUUUACUGUGUAUUUGUGGAACUGGAUUUAAUUUAUGUGAGUGCAUCAGUCCAAAAUAAAAAACAAGUUUGGAUUUUAUUCCGAUUGAUUUGAAUACGCAGACAUAUUUUAAAUUGGUGUCUUCUAUAUUUCAAAAAUUUGGAUUUUAUUUUUUCCGAUUGCUGUUCAAUGUUUCCAAUCGGCUGGCUUUCCAUUGAAACGCUUUAAAUUCAAAUCUAUUUCAUAUAGUGAGACUUGAAAUGGUGUCAUAGUGGUUUGAACCAUGAACAAUCUGUAUAAUUUGACGUUUUAUUAUCUGUAUAAUUGGAUGCUCUGAUUUAUGGAGCAAUAGUUUCCGCUGAUAUGCGAUGAUCUUGAACAUUGUUCAAUGCAUAAUUUUUAAUGAUCCUUUUUAUUGUUUUAGAUUAUUUACUCUUAACUAAUAUCCCUGCAUGUAGUUUUGGUUAAACAUGGUAAGUCUAAGGCUCAUGAUGAAAAUUUUAGUUCUUGUAGAUAUAUUUUAAUACAUUUCGAUCAAAUACCGUUUUUUACAAAGUUGCACGCGGCUUUUGGGUCUGAUUGGAGAACUAUGAAAGAAGGGUUUUAUUUAUCCCUGAGACAUUCGAAGCUUUAACGUGUUUCUGCAUAAUUGGAUCGUGAUGCGUGUUACCACUUUAGUAGUCGUGCCAUUGAAUUUCGUACAACAAAGUCGGAAGAAACUCGGGUCUUCUGGCAGCGAUCAUUCGCGCGAAAACCGUAUGGGUAAUUUAACGCAGUAUUUUGUUUUGUGAUUACUUCAAGUUUUUGAUAUAUGGUGAUUAAGCUUGUUACAUGCGAUAUAAAAUUUUUGCAGAUUCAUCUUAGUUUUCUCCUAGUUUAGUGUUUUGAGUAGUAUUCUGAUAUCUGGUUUCUUUAGGCUAUCUCCUUACUAAUUUUAUGUAAAUUUGAGUUAUUUGUACUUGCUGUUUGUUUGAACUUGUUAUUUUCAAUGUUUCUUUUCUUUGCUGGUUUGCAUUUAUUGUUAAUAAGCUUGUUUCCGUUUCAUUACAUGUCUAUCUAUUUGUUAGGCGCGUCUCUUUUUCUUUAAUCCAUUAUUUGUACCAGAUUUCAAUUUAAACUUUAUCAAACGAAAAACAUUCGAAUCAAGAAGUUACGUUAAGCCUAUUCUGUCCCUUAAUAUCUAUCUUCGUGCUAACCGGACAGUGUUCAAUGUUCGCCGGAAAUACCAAACGUCGAUCGCCUCUUGUAAGUGUGUACCGUCGCCGUUUCAAUUCUAACGCUAAACUAUGCAAUGCAAAUAAACCUACUAAAUGCACUCUAAAAAUGAGUGAGUUAAUCAAUCAAUUAUCAUUCUUAUUGAAGUACUAAUAGGAUUAUAGUUGAACUAAAUUCUCUUCGGUAAGAAUAAAAUAUUGAGUGUUGCGUCAAUUAUUUCAACCGUAAUAGAUUUCACCAUUUCAGAAAUGUGUGAGUGUGUGUGUGUGUGAGAGUGCGAAAGCGUUCAACGAAAUUUUGCUGAAACCGGUUUGCGCCAAAUGGUCACAAUUUUGAUAAAAGCUAUUGUAGUUUUUGUGUGUAUGUGUGUAAAUUCGCAUUGUUUCGGUUAGAUCAACUAGUUAAGAAAGAGUUUAUAAAUCACUCGUUAACACAAAAAAUCAAUCAUUUUAAAACACUAAAAUUUAAAGCUUCGGUUGAGUUAAAUAUUGUACGCACCUCUUUGUUUUUACUCAAAUUGUAGUUUUUGAUCCAAAGGUCACGUUUCGCGUUUUCGUUUGCGCUUCUUUGGGCGCUUGGUCCAAAACUGGCCGCCUUAUUUUUCUCUUUUGUUGUAGAUUUUGUUUACGAUUGGAUUGUUAUUGUUUGAUUUGAAUUCAAAGCAGUCAAACGGGGUCACAGCCUGUCAGUUUGGUGUCAUGCAAAACGGUUUGCUUGGUUGUUGUGUUUUACCCCAGACGAAAAUAGGAUUCAGCCGAUUUUUAUUCGUUCUAGACGACGGAUGCCGAAGGGUCCACCGCACGCAUUCACCGUUCCACAUGGUCGAAAAAGUAAUCAAUUUUAGUUCGAGCCGAAUCGGAAGCGUUUUCCUCGCAUGAUGUUUCAUAACUGUCGCCCGUCACAGCCUCUGUUCAGUGGGGUUCUUGCGUUGCAGUUUUUAUUUUCGUUCGAAGCGAAAAGAAGGGGAUUUGUUUUGAAUUUAUGUUCUGGAUUCUGAACGAGUUUUUGUGAGUUGCACAGUCUUCUUGCAGGGGGGUCUUACCGGAUUUUGAUUCAAACUUCUUAUGAAUGAUGGUAGAUUGGGUUUCCCGUUUCCCUUGGCUUGUUCUUGCGAAACAAGAACCAAACUCAGAAGCCUAGACUGGGCGACAGAGAAAGAGACGAAGAUGGAGGGCGCCCGCAAUAACUUUUCUUAUGCCAGAUCAUGCCGAACGAGUUUUCAGAAGAUGGGUGUGCAAAAACUUAAAAUAUGCAAAUUCAGUUUAGUAAGCAAAAUAUGUUGUUUCUUUGGAAGUCUUUCAUGUGUUUUUCAUUAUCGUUGGUUUGAUGGGUGGAACGUGGUAGCGAAGGGCGAGACCGUAUUUUUGUUGGACCAAAAGUUGGACGGAUUUCGAUGCCGGUCUGGUCGAUGAUUAGUGACGUCUCUUUUGAAUUUGGAACGAUUUUUUUUGGGUUCAGAUUUUGACGUGACAGGGUUGCUAGUUUAUGGCAAGGCUUUUAAAUUUGGGCUUUGAACCUAAAACCGUUGCACUUCAAAGUUCGUGUCACUGGAUACUGCGAUGUGCGACCUGUUUUUGAAUUUCAGUUCAGUGGACGAACCAAUCAAACCAAUCCAAAAACGACGACAAGUAUGGGCGACAAAUUGGGAGUCGUGAGAAGAAUGCGAGGUAAUUUCGGUAGGUGGCGCAUCCGCUUGCUAGAUGGUUCCUCUUAAUUAGGUCCAUGUUUUUGAGCGGUAACUAAACAUGGCUUGCUCUAUUUCAGAGGACAAACUUUUCGAAAGAUGGAUCAAAUGAAGGGGAGAAGCAUUGCAGCAAGCACGAUGCAGCUUCUUCCUCUGUCAAAGAAAAACGAGAAAACUUUUUGAAUUUAUUAACUUUCGGUUGCCGGUAGUCGUUUGUUGAUGUACUUAAAAAUUUGUGCCGGAAAUGAAGCUAGGGAUGCGCUCGUCGUUGCCCAGAAUGAACGAUAGGAAGAGAUGGGGCGUGUAGAAAAUAUAAAUUUAAGUCAAUUACCAAGAUGUGACGAGAGAAAUGGAGACGACAAAUGGGGGACACGAACUUUGAAGAAAGUUGCAGAUGAUGAAUUUUAAAGUAAAAACACUUGGACUUUCGUUUUGAUGUACAAUGUUCCCACACCCGUAGCCAUGCCAAUAGCCAGGGCUUGCUUUUUGAACCGAGAAAUGGUAGUCCAAAGGCUCUGUUAGAUUUGAAACGAUGAUGCUUCCGGUAAAUGGGAAAUAAUUUGCAGAAAGGAAAUUUAGCUGAUGAGACUUUCGCUUCGGAACCGGCCGAAUGUCAUCAAGGAGAUGUGUCCGCUUCCCAGCCUUCUGAGGUUUUACCGGAGCCGCCUACUCAGUUCGAGAAGAAAGAUUGAUGGUAAUUAACGAAAAUGUUUAAAUUAAUAGUACAAAUUCGAUUAGAUGCCGAUAUAGUUCCAUGGUCGAAGGGUGAGACAGUAUGCAUUUUCAAAACGAAAACAAAAAAUUGAUUUUCGAAUGUACGGUUGAUAAUUGGCAAAGCAAAGCUGAAACAAGUAUUUUGAAUGAUGCAACAAUUUGGUCGCAUUUUUUUUGGAUAUCCUUUCGGAGAGUGCCGUUCCCUCAAGAUCUGUCACCUGAUGGCUGCCAAUCAGAGUGUAUUUGUUUUGUUUGAUUUCCUUGUCUUUGUCCUAUAUUUGAUAGGAUGGUUUCAUCACAGAUGUGGUCAGAAUCAAAAUUGGAGCAAACAUGAACUUGGCUGCCGCUAACCUUGGAUCAAGCUCUUCGGAGGAAAUGGAAACCCUGCCGAACGGAUUGUAAAUUUUGGUGUUACCGUGUUGCCAGUUUUUUUAUUAUUGUUUUUGAAUCUCGUCACUGUCUCGAAAAAUCUUUUGUUUUUGUGUCAAAUUUCUUUUGUUAUGGCGUUUCAUUUUGACUGUAACAAAAAUUGUUUGCCAGAAUAUCUUAUAUCAAAACCGACUCGAAAAACUUCUUUCAGUUUGAUGUUACUAUUUCUAAAUGUUUCUCCUCAGAAAAAUAAUUAGGGCAAGGGGACGUUGUCGACUAGAGCGACGAGAACGACGUUCAAAGGCUAUAAAUUUCAAAGACGCAUUCUGGAUUACCGCGCCGCCAUCAGGGUCGAUUCACGUUCAGUCGAGCGUUGAAUUUUGGCGAGCACGUGCUCGGUUAUCUUUCGCCAUUUGGUUUUUGCUUGUGUUUGUGUCGGAAAUGUGAAUAUUAUCCGAACGAAAGCCACAUUGCUUUGCUCUUACAUAGUUUUGCUUUGAUUCAGCCUGCUUUGAUGGGUUUUUGUCUUAGAGAUUUGGAAUGGACGGAAAAGCAAUUUAGCUCCGUGUAUCGAGUAUAAUAAUUAUACAGCCAAUAGAUUCCUGUUUUCUAUUAUUUUGGAAUUUCGUUAAUAACUUGACCAGUCUCAAACCUCGGCUCCAGAACUAUUCGGCACCACAACCCUAAUCAUGAAAUUAAUAAUUCAUUAGAUCGAAAUUAAACGUCUUGCCAGAAACGGAGAACCUAGAAUCUUAUUGCUCCUUUGGUUUUGAAUUUGGUUCUGUUUUGAAUAAUGGAAGGGUUUGAUUGAAUAUUACAUUCCCGCGGUUUUGCUAAAGGAAUUUUUGACUUUGGACUAAUUAGUUUCUAAUACGUACGUUUUUAUAAGUUCCCCCUAGGUCAAAUUGCAGACAGAAUGAGUUUUUAUACAAAUUUCGAUGGUUAUCUCGAUAGGAAUGGAUUUAAUCUUGACUAACCCUUUUGGAUCGAACCCUUCCCAUCGAUUUAUUCACCGAUCGAAAUCAACACUCCGUGCGUUUAACUUGAAGAGACUGCUCAGAAAUUUUUUAUUGAUUUCUUCUUUUGAAUUUUGCCAUAUUUUUCGCUUGAAAAUUUUCAUUCUUUUCGUUUCGAAAAGAAGAAAUUCCAAGAUGUUUUAGUUUAUUUACUAUUGACUGACCCAGAGACGUCACCGAUUCGUUUUAGUACACAAAAAUUUCAAAUCCAUUUCAGAAUCUUCUAGUUUUUUCCAACCCCAAUAUACCAAUAUGAUCACCAAACUGUUUAGCAGCCCCCCGUUUGACAGCUGUUUUAAGUCUAAAUGCCGUGAAAAUACGAAUUGUUUGUUUUCCGCUUCAUCUUUUGGACAUUUAUUUUAUCCCAAUCCAACUUUGCUGCUUGAGAAUACAAAAAUAAACGAAUAAAAAAUAUGCAUUAAUUGUCAUUGGUUCCAAUUCCGAAACCUACUGUUUGUGGUUCGGGUUUUCCUAACAGGCUUGAUGUUUUUUGCGAUCGAUUGGAUUUUGCAUAUGGGUUUCCGGUCGUUUGGCGAAAAAAUGAAUAAGCAAACCGAAACUAGUAAAUUGAGAGAAAACCCUUAUUUGUGCGAUUAACUGCCUAACAAAAGAAUUUAUGUAGUAAUGUGGCGGAAAUAAUUGAGUUUUGUUUUCUGGUAGAUUGUUUGUAUAGAUUUGUUUACUUAAUAACAUGUGGUAAUGUGUGGCAAAAUUAUUGAAUUCGUGUUUGUGUUCAGUGCUUCUAGGAACGUGUUCCAUUAUUUUUUCGUUUUUGUUUAUAGUUCCAGUAUGUGUUUAUUACAGAAAUUAUUACCAUUAUUUGCGACUUGUUUAGAGCCUAUUUCAAAAUAUAGAAUAUUUUUGUGUAACAAUCUCAAAUAGUUAACAAUAAAUUUUUGUUUAAGUUUUGCUUUUGGACUUAUUCCAACAAUCCAGUAUCACUUUUUCUUCGAGUUUUGAACUUGUAUUUUGUGUUUCAAACGUUAGAAAGCAAUAAAUUUGCAUUUACUAUGUCUUGAGUGGGUUUAAUUUGGCGAGGAAAAGUAAAUUUACCUAAUGCUGCGUUGUUUCACUUUGAGUGCACAGCUCUUAUUUUUUGUUUGUUUCCGUUUGACGUGUUUUCAAAAUAUUUCGAUUAAAGAUAUGUUUGCCACGCAAAUAUGUAAAUAAAUAUUUUUCAGCUUUCAACAAAUAUGGUGUGUAAACAUUUUGGCUAAAUAGUGGUUUCACUUUUCUUUUCCUAAAAUUUUUCUAUGAACAACUGGAUCAGUUAUCAGUUUUUAACUAAACAAUCCUCAUCACGGGGUUUCACGCCAAAUCGGUUACCCGAAGUUGGUUCUUUUGGUUUUAACGACAAUGAAAAUAAUUUCUGUCAUAAAGAGCUUGCUUCAUUUCGUUUGUGCGUAUUGUUAACAUGAUUUUAAUUUUCAAUUUACUGCGUGACAUUCAACAGUUUCCUGAAGAAUGUCCUAUUAGCCGAGAUAGAUAAUUUUUCUCCAAAGCUAGCUUAGUAGGUCUGAAUCCAAUAAUUUUGUUCUUCCUGUUAAAAAUCAUUUGUAUGUUUGUGUUUUAAUAAAUAAUAAACAAAACAUUCCAGUUAUUGUUUACUAUUGCCGUAAGUUUGACUUAUUGUUUCUGUUUCCUGUGCAUUGAGUUGACAAAAAAAAAUAUUCGUUUUGUCAAAUCAGAAUCCUUAUAACAAUAUAAGAAAACUAUCGUUAUCCUAGCUAUUGUUCGGUUGUGGUGUGACUAAUAAAAAACUAAAGAAAGUUAUAACUAAGCACAAGAUAAAGAACUCUAUAACCUAUUGUCAAAAACUUAGGAUUAAAUACUUAUCACAAAAGUAGAACGAAAAUUGGAGCGAUGCAUACGUUUGACGUUUAUUGUUUACUGUUGUUGUUUUGUUUUUGUGUUUGGCUUGCCAUGAAUUGGUUCGUAAACGGAACCAAAUCAAAAAAAAAGUGUAAUUACUCUGCGUUCAGAUUUGUUUCUGCUUGGGUGCAACAUUUGGUAAGUAUACUUCUCUGAAAGCUUCCGCUCGCUGGGAAAGCUUUGAUCCUCCUGUUGCCUCCUCCUGGUCUCUUCCUCGGUGACGACGGCAGCGACGACUACACAAAACAAACGACGCGUCGUCUUCAACACAGUUUCCACGACGAACUUCCAUUUCAUUUUGGUUUGUUGUUCCUUUUGCUGGCCUCGUGGUUAGUUUUGACUUGUUCUCUCUAUGCUCGGACGGAAUUUGUUCUAUAUCGCUGAUGCUUAUCCGAGGGAAGUUUGAAUGUCUCUUGUACAUGACUUCGAACCGAAAUGUUUGGGCAGCGUUACGCUUCCCCUUUUUAGACGCAGAAUUUCGCUCUCUUUCUACCGAAAGACAACUUCCCCUCGAUUGUACUUUUGAACGUGAACCGGUUUCCCCUUAAGUGGAGAUGUUUAUUAUUUACGAAUGAGUCGUUUGGUUGUGAAUGAGUUUCUGUUUUUGCUGGUAAAUAGAAGUCUUCGUUCGACUGUAUUGGCCGAGCCGGUCGCUUUUGUGCAUGUGUGCGCCAUGGCACGUGGUCGCGUGAACCGUUAUCGUGCGUUACGACGAGCGUGGGAAUGCUGCGAAGACAAGAUGGCGUAUCAAUAUUUUAUUCUUUCGCAUCUAUGCUAAUCAGUGUGGUGAGCUUUGAGCUUCUUCUUAGAAUUAAGUGUCUAAUUCCUAACUGAAACGGCGGCAGCGAGGUUGAUCGUUCCGGAAGGGUUGUCCAACCGGAAUUUGGUUGAGUAUUUACGGCAACCAUUCCGUGCAGUCGAUUCGAAUGUUUUCCAUUUAGCUUUUGGAAUGGAAUUGUGCUGCAUUGCGAUGACCGAAUCAAAGGUCACUAAAUAUUGUUAUUUUCGAUGCAUCCAGUAUCUAUGGUGACUUUUCCCUGAGGUGAAGCGUUCUCUUGGAGUUGGUUGGUGAUGGAAGCAGUACUGGAAGUACUUGUCGCCAUACUGGUGCUGUCGCGGUACAACGAGUUCGUUCAAAUCCCUCUGUCUGUGGAAUGUAGAAAUAAAAACAAGUAUCAGAAUGAAAA